rnacentral:rRNA from 1 species
UGGGGAAUAUUGGACAAUGGGCGAAAGCCUGAUCCAGCCAUGCCGCGUGAGUGAAGAAGGCCUUAGGGUUGUAAAGCUCUUUCACCUGCGGAGAUGAUGACGGUAGCAGGAGAAGAAGCCCCGGCUAACUCCGUGCCAGCAGCCGCGGUAAUACGGAGGGGGCUAGCGUUGUUCGGAAUUACUGGGCGUAAAGGGCGCGUAGGCGGUAUGUCAAGUCAGAGGUGAAAGGCCUGGGCUCAACCCAGGAAUUGCCUUUGAAACUGGCAAACUAGAGUCCGAAAGAGGAUGGCGGAAUUCCCAGUGUAGAGGUGAAAUUCGUAGAUAUUGGGAAGAACACCGGUGGCGAAGGCGGCCAUCUGGAUCGGCACUGACGCUGAGGCGCGAAAGCGUGGGGAGCAAACAGGAUUAGAUACCCUGGUAGUCCACGCCGUAAACGAUGUGUGCUAGACGUUAGGGUCUUAGACCCUGGGUGUCGAAGCUAACGCGUUAAGCACACCGCCGU